UGGGGAAUAUUGGACAAUGGGCGAACGCCUGAUCCAGCCAUGCCGCGUGUGUGAAGAAGGUCUUCGGAUUGUAAAGCACUUUAAGUUGGGAGGAAGGGCAGUAAGCGAAUACCUUGCUGUUUUGACGUUACCGACAGAAUAAGCACCGGCUAACUCUGUGCUAGCAGCCGCGGUAAUACAGCGGGUGCAAGCGUUAAUCGGAAUUACUGGGCGUAAAGCGCGCGUAGGUGGUUGGUUAAGUUGAAUGUGAAAGCCCCGGGCUCAACCUGGGAACUGCAUCCAAGUCUGGCGAGCUAGAGUAGGGCAGAGGGUGGUGGAAUUUCCUGUGUAGCGGUGAAAUGCGUAGAUAUAGGAAGGAACACCAGUUGCGAAGGCGACCACCUGGGCUCAUACUGACACUGAGGUGAGAAAGCGUGGCGAGCAAACAGG
rnacentral:rRNA from 1 species